GGCUCAGCAGUGGAUGGUCCACACCUGCGUUUCGUAUACUGUUUCCAUUUGUCCAGCAGGAGAACACCCGUUCGAACCGGGUCUGAGCCA